CGUAGGGUCCGAGCGUUAAUCGGAAUUACUGGGCGUAAAGCGUGCGCAGGCGGUCUCGCAAGUCCGAUGUGAAAUCCCCGGGCUCAACCUGGGAACUGCGUUGGAAACUAUGAGGCUCGAGUGCGGCAGAGGGGGGUGGAAUUCCACGUGUAGCAGUGAAAUGCGUAGAGAUGUGGAGGAACACCGAUGGCGAAGGCAGCCCCCUGGGCCAGCACUGACGCUCAUGCACAAAAGCGUGGGGAGCAAACAGGAUUAGAUACCCUGGUAGUCCACGCCCUAAACGAUGGCAACUAGUUGUUGGGGGAUGAACUCCCUUAGUAACGCAGCUAACGCGUGAAGUUGCCCGCCUGGGGAGUACGGUCGCAAGAUUAA
rnacentral:rRNA from 1 species